UGCCUAGCUCAAUCGGUAGAGCACAGGACUGUGAAUCCUGGAGUAGUGGGUUCGAAUCCCACGGCAA
rnacentral:tRNA from 1 species